rnacentral:rRNA from 1 species
GGAUUGGGAGGGUUCUACGGAACCCGUUUGGUGAAUCUAGUGCCGAGAAAAGCCUUCUAUGUGUUGAAUUUCUAGUACCCGUACCCCAAACCGACACAGGUGGGUGGGUAGAGCAUACCUAGGGGCGCGUGAUAACUCUCUCUAAGGAACUCGGCAAAAUGGCCCUGUAACUUCGGGAUAAGGGGUGCCUGCGUGAGCAGGCCGCAGUGAAAUGGCUCUGGCGACUGUUUACCAAAAACACAGGUCUCUGCUAAGUCGUAAGACGAUGUAUAGGGGCUGACUCCUGCCCAGUGCCGGAAGGUUAAGGAAGUUGGUUAGCGCAAGCGAAGCUGGCGACCGAAGCCCCGGUGAACGGCGGCCGUAACAAUAACGGUCCUAAGGUAGCGAAAUUCCUUGUCGGGUAAGUUCCGACCCGCACGAAAGGAGUAACGAUCAGAGCGCUGUCUCGGAGAGAGACACGGCGAAAUAGGAUUGUCCGUGAAGAUACGGACUACCUGCACCCGGACAGAAAGACCCUAUGAAGCUUUACUGUAACUUGGAAUUGUGUUCGGACUUUUGUCUGCGCAGAAUAGGUGGGAGGCUAUGAAACGUUCCUCGCGGGGAACUGGAGCCAUCGUUGAGAUACCACUCUGGCAGAGUCUGGAUUCUAACCUACGGGGACAGUUCCAGGUGGGCAGUUUGACUGGGGCGGUCGCCUCCUAAAAUGUAACGGAGGCGCGCAAAGGUUCCCUCAGGCUGGUUGGAAAUCAGCCAUAGAGUGUAAAAGCAUAAGGGAGCUUGACUGUGAGACCUACAAGUCGAGCAGGGACGAAAGUCGGCUUUAGUGAUCCGACGGCACUGAGUGGAAGGGCCGUCGCUCAACGGAUAAAAGUUACUCUAAGGAUAACAGGCUGAUCUCCCCCAAGAGUUCACAUCGACGGGGAGGUUUGGCACCUCGAUGUCGGCUCGUCGCAACCUGGGGCGGUAGUACGUCCCAAGGGUUGGGCUGUUCGCCCAUUAAAGCGGCACGUGAGCUGGGUUCAGAACGUCGUGAGACAGUUCGGUCCAUAUCCGGUGUAGGCGUAGGAGCAUUGAAAGGAUCUCUCCUUAGUACGAGAGGACCGGGAGGGACGUACCUCUGGUGUACCUGUUAUCGUGCCAACGGUAAACGCAGGGUAGCCAUGUACGGAGUGGAUAACCGCUGAAAGCAUCUAAGUGGGAAGCCCACCUUAAGAUGAGUGCUCCCUUGAGGCCACGGGAAGACGACCCGUUUGAUAGGCGCUAGGUGGAAGUGCAGUAAUGCAUGCAGCCGAGGCGUACUAAUAGGCCGAUGGC